rnacentral:lncRNA from 1 species
CUUUGUUUUCUGCCAUCAGAGUUGGGAAACCUCAAUGCUCUCAAGUCAUUGAAAAUUCAUAGGUGUGAAGAGCUCUCCUCUUUCCAACAAGGUUUCCAGCACUUCAAGGCUUUAGAAAGUUUAGAAAUUUGUCACUGCCACUGUAUUUCUAUACCAGAGGGGAUUGGAAGUAUCAGUUCCCUCAGAAGUUUAUGCAUAGACAAUUGUGACAAUUUGACAUCAUUACCUUUGAGUUUGAAGAAUCUCACAUGUCUUGAGCACUUGACCAUCAUGAACUGUCGAAAUCUCGUGUCUUUGCCAGAGGACAUGCAUCGACUUUCUGCUCUUCAAAGUUUGACCAUCUUAAGCUGUUCCCAGGUUUUGUCUCUGCCUGAAGAGUUGCAGCAUAUCACAACAAUGCAUUGAGGUAUUGUGCUGUUCUCACAGCUUUGCCAGAAUGGAUUGGAGACACAGUCACUGUGAUAAUUGAUAAUCUCAGAUUGGCUUGGUCUGAAUCAAUUGCUACAAGAUCUGAAACGUCUAAAUACUCUUCUGCAUCGGUCAAUUCAAGGGUCCUGAAAUUUUGGAAAGAUGCAAAAAAGAAGUUGGUGACAAUUGGCCAAAAAUAAUCCGUGUUCCACACUAAAAUAUUGGAUCAACUGAGGUCAGUCAGCUGAAUGAAGCAGUCAGCUAGAUUUUAUUCUGAAGCAACCAACUUCCUGUCCAUUUUCAUUAACAUCGUUCUCAUGAUGAUAAAUAAUUUCUUUUCUUUCCAUCUUUUAUUGAUGUAUGGUCCCCCUUGUUACUUGUAUCCCAAUUAUCCCUGUACUGUUCAAACACUGUUGUCUGUAUAAUUUUCUUGUCAAUCACUGCUAUCUGUGACUCUAUAAUUUUCUUUCUCCAGAUAUAGAGAACAAAUCUCAAUUAUGAGCGAGGAUACUGUUCUAGAAAGCUAGAAAAGAGAUAAGAAUGGUAUAUUUUUAAAAGAGAAGUUAAAAUAAAUAAGAUAGUAUUGAUGAAUAAAACUUCCAAAGACAGAAUCCUGCUGGAAAAAAAAAAGGCUUUGCAAUCCCUAUAUUUUCUGAGUGGCUAUUCCUAUUCUUGUGAAAAUAUCAAAUUCUUCAUUCGUGGAUGCUGAUAAUCCUCAACAUAAACCAACAGAACAAGAACACUAGCGAUAUUAUCCAAGCAAAUAUUGGCAAGUUGUUGUACAAUAAGUAAAAAAUCUUAAAUUAUUAUGUCUAAGCCUUUGAUUUACACAAACGAAGAUGAAAUCUAUCAAUGCACAGGAACACAUCAACGGAAAAUGGAUAACCCAAAAGCUAGUGAUUUCGUCAUAGCACAACAGGUGAACAUCUGAACCAGUUCAGAGAAAUUCAAAAGUAAAAAAAGAAAAGGUUACCUGAAGGCAAGUAGACUCAGUCCCAUUUUUUAAUCCCCCAAAUUCAAUACUUCAAUAUCGCAUUAUCAAGUUCUCAUCAAAAUUUUUGGUUAUUAUUGGCCUCAAAUCCUACUUAAUUGGCUAUCACUGCCACUGGAAGCAACUCCAUUCAGGAUUUCUCAUCUGCUCUGCUCUGCUUCCGCUUGGAAACUGUUACCUGCUAUAACCGUUGGGAGUUGGCCUUGACGGAUAUCAGUAUUGAAUUCGGGGGAUUAAAACAUGGACUUUUGGGUGAAG